AGAGUUUGAUCCUGGCUCAGAUUGAACGCUGGCGGCAUGCUUUACACAUGCAAGUCGAACGGCAGCACGGGUGCUUGCACCUGGUGGCGAGUGGCGAACGGGUGAGUAAUGCACCGGAACGUACCCAGUAAUGGGGGAUAACACAUCGAAAGAUGUGCUAAUACCGCAUACGCCCUGAGGGGGAAAGCGGGGGAUCGUAAGACCUCGCGUUAUUGGAGCGGCCGAUGCCGGAUUAGCUAGUUGGUGAGGUAAGAGCUCACCAAGGCGACGAUCCGUAGCUGGUCUGAGAGGACGACCAGCCACACUGGGACUGAGACACGGUCCAGACUCCUACGGGAGGCAGCAGUGGGGAAUUUUGGACAAUGGGCGCAAGCCUGAUCCAGCCAUGCCGCGUGAGUGAAGAAGGCCUUCGGGUUGUAAAGCUCUUUCGCAAGGAAAGAAAACUUAUCUACUAA
rnacentral:rRNA from 1 species